ensembl:lncRNA
AACAGACCUUCUCUUCAGGACCACCACGGCAGAGGAGCGAUUUUAGUCUCUUGUGACAAUAACUACUGUCCCAACUGUCGCUAACGAGUGUCCCAACUGUCGCUAACUACUGUCCCAACUGCCGCUAACUACUGUCCCAACUAUGUCUAACUACUGUCCCAACUGUUGCUAACUACUGUCCCAACUGCCCCUAACUACUGUCCCAACUGCCGCUAACUACUGUCCCAACUAUCCCCAACUACUGUCCCAACUGCCCCUAACUACUCUCCCAACUGCCCCUAACUACUGUCCCAACUGCCGCUAACGACUGUGCCAACUGCCGCUAACUACUGUCCCAACUGCCGCUAACUACUGUCCCAACUGCCGCUAACUACUGCCCCAACUGCUGCUAACUACUGUCCCAACUGCUGCUAACUACUGUUCCAAAUUUCGCUAAAUACUGUACCAACUGCACCAACUACUGUCCCAACUGCCACUAACUACUGUCCCAACUGCCCCUAACUACUGUCCCAACUGCCACUAACUACUGUCCCAACUGUCGCUAACUACUGUCCCAACUGCCCCAACUACUUUCCCAACUGCUGCUAACUACUGUCCCAACUGCAGCUAACUACUGUCCCAACUACCCCUAACUACUUUCCCAACUGUUGCUAACUACUGUCCCAACUGCCCCUAACUACUUUCCCAACUGGCGCAAACUACUGUCCCAACUGUCGCUAACUACAAUCCCUACUGUCGCUAACUACUGUCCCUACUGCCCCAACUACUGUCCCAACUGUUGCUAACUACUGUCCCAAGUGCCGCUAACUACUGUCCCAACUUCCGCUAACUACUGUCCCAACUGUCGCUAACUACUGUCCCAACUGCUGCAAACUACUGUCCCAACUGCCCCUAACUACUGUCCCAACUGCUGCUAACUACUGUCCCAACUGCCCCUAACUACUGUCCCAACUUCCGCUAACUACUGUCCCAACUGUCGCUAACUACUGUCCCAACUGCCGCUAACUACUGUCCCAACUGCCCCAACUGCCGCUAAGUACUGUCCCAACUGCCCCUAACUACUGUCCCAACUGCCGCUAACUACAGUCCCAACUGUCGCUAACUACUGUCCCAACUGCCCCUAAGUACUGUCCCAACUGCCCCUAACUACUGUCCCAACUGUCGCUAACGACUGUCCCAACUGUCGCUAACGACUGUGCCAACUGCCGCUAACUACUGUCCCAACUGCCACUAACUACUGUCCCAACUGCCCCAACUACUGUC